rnacentral:lncRNA from 1 species
ACGGGUUUUGAACUUUCAUAGUGUGUGGAAAUAGGUUGUUAUACUUAUGAAGUGGGAAAUUGAGACGAUGUUGAAAGAUUGUGUACAUUUGUUGCUAUGUGACAGUUAUGGUGUGGAAAUAUGUCGUCUUCCCCUUUUUUUUGAACGCCCACUUUAUAGUUUACAUAGUAGAAAUAUUAUGUGUUUCAAAAAAAAAUAGUAGAAAGAUUCUUGGCGUUAAACU